GACAGGGCUGGGAGUGGCGUGGGUAAGCUGGCCGGCGCGGGGCGCGGGCGGCGGGGCACAAGGGCGCUACAAGAAGAGGGCGCGAGGGUGCCCGCGGCCAGCCGGGCGCUCCGAGAAGUCAGCGCGAGCAGCUGUGACUUCACCUAUUAGCCCCGAUGUCUUUCCGAGGAGCCUGGUGGAGUUAAACAGCCCACAAUGGGCGCUCUGGGGCGCCUCCAGCCUGACCUCCACCCGGGUUUAAUAGUUUCAUAGGAACUUCAUUAAAUCAAUUACUUAGUGA
rnacentral:lncRNA from 10 species